rnacentral:rRNA from 1 species
UACAGGGGGUGCAAACGUUGCUCGGAAUUAUUGGGCGUAAAGCGCGCGUAGGCGGCUACUUAAGUCGGAUGUGAAAGCCCUCGGCUUAACUGAGGAAGUGCAUCCGAAACUGAGUAGCUAGAGUACGAAAGAGGGUCGCGGAAUUCCCGGUGUAGAGGUGAAAUUCGUAGAUAUCGGGAGGAACACCGGUGGCGAAGGCGGCGACCUGGGUCGAGACUGACGCUGAUGAGCGAAAGCGUGGGGAGCGAACAGG